GACGAACGCUGGCGGCGUGCUUAACACAUGCAAGUCGAACGGAAAGGCCCUGCUUUUGUGGGGUGCUCGAGUGGCGAACGGGUGAGUAACACGUGAGUAACCUGCCCUUGACUUUGGGAUAACUUCAGGAAACUGGGGCUAAUACCGGAUAGGAGCUCCUGCUGCAUGGUGGGGGUUGGAAAGUUUCGGCGGUUGGGGAUGGACUCGCGGCUUAUCAGCUUGUUGGUGGGGUAGUGGCUUACCAAGGCUUUGACGGGUAGCCGGCCUGAGAGGGUGACCGGCCACAUUGGGACUGAGAUACGGCCCAGACGCCUACGGGAGGCAGCAGUGGGGAAUAUUGCACAAUGGGCGGAAGCCUGAUGCAGCAACGCCGCGUGCGGGAUGACGGCCUUCGGGUUGUAAACCGCUUUCGCCUGUGACGAAGCGUGAGUGACGGUAAUGGGUAAAGAAGCACCGGCUAACUACGUGC
rnacentral:rRNA from 1 species